GUGUUUUCGGCUUCGACCAAUGAGCUCCAGCUUCCCCUGCAUUUUCAUUGGUCGAAGAGAGUGAACCGUUGUGAAGACAAAUGGACAAUCAACGACCUCAGUGUUCAAGAAAAAGCCACAUACAAUGACAGCGUUCCCCUCCCCCCACCAGAAUCCAGCAAGGAAGCAAGUAGUGUUAGAACACCAAGCAGUAAGGCUAAUGCAGACUUUACCACCUAUGGUUAAGACAGCUGGUUCGCCCUCUCUUUGUCCAAGAACAUUCUUUCAAUGGCUCACAGGAC